GAUGAACGCUGGCGGCAUGCCUAAUACAUGCAAGUCGAACGAGCGGAAGGAAAGCUUGCUUUUCUGAAUCUAGUGGCGAACGGGUGAGUAACACGUAGGUAACCUGCCCAUGUGCCCGGGAGAACUUCUGGAAACGGAUGCUAAAACCGGAUAGGUAGCAGACAAGCAUUUGACUGCUAUUAAAGUGGCUAAGGCCAUGAACAUGGAUGGACCUGCGGCGCAUUAGCUAGGUGGUGGGGUAACGGACCACCAAGGCGACGAUGCAUAGCCGGCCUGAGAGGGCGGACGGCCACAUUGGGACUGAGACACGGCCCAAACUCCUACGGGAGGCAGCAGUAGGGAAUGUUCGUCAAUGGGUGGAACCCUGAACGAGCAAGGCCGCGUGAGUGAGGAAGGUCUUCGGAUCGUAAAGCUCUGUUGUAAGAGAAAAACGACAUUCAUAGGGAAUGAUGAGGGAGUGAUGGUAUCUUACCAGAAAGUCACGGCUAACUACGUGCCAGCAGCCGCAGUAAAAC
rnacentral:rRNA from 1 species